AUUGAACGCUGGCGGCAUGCUUUACACAUGCAAGUCGAACGGAGGUUGGGAGCUUGCUCCCAACUUUAGUGGCGAACGGGUGAGUAAUACAUCGGAACGUACCGCGUAGUGGGGGAUAACGAGUCGAAAGAUUCGCUAAUACCGCAUAUUCUCUACGGAGGAAAGCGGGGGCUCUUCGGACCUCGCGCUAACAGAUGAGCCUAGGUCGGAUUAGCUAGUUGGUGGGGUAAUGGCCCACCAAGGCGACGAUCCGUAACUGGUCUGAGAGGAUGAUCAGUCACACUGGAACUGAGACACGGUCCAGACUCCUACGGGAGGCAGCAGUGGGGAAUAUUGGACAAUGGGCGAAAGCCUGAUCCAGCCAUGCCGCGUGUGUGAAGAAGGUCUUCGGAUUGUAAAGCACUUUAAGUCGGGAGGAAGGGCUGUAGGCUAAUACCUUGCAGUUUUGACGUUACCGACAGAAUAAGCACCGGCUAACUUCGUGCCAGCCGCCGCCGUAAGAC
rnacentral:rRNA from 1 species